rnacentral:rRNA from 1 species
GUGCAGCAGUCGCGAAAACUUCACAAUGUGCGAAAGCACGAUGAGGGAAUCCCAAGUGCUUGCACGUAAAGUGUAAGCUGUUUCUCUGUCUAAAACGCAGAGAGAGUAAGGGCUGGGUAAGACCGGGUGCCAGCCGCCGCGGUAAUACCUGCAGCUCGAGUGGUGACCGUUAUUAUUGGGCCUAAAACGUCCGUAGCCGGUUUAAUAAAUG